CAGAGGGUGCAAGCGUUAAUCGGAAUUACUGGGCGUAAAGCGCACGUAGGCGGUUUUUUAAGUCAGAUGUGAAAGCCCCGGGCUCAACCUGGGAAUUGCAUUUGAAACUGGAAAACUAGAGUGUGUGAGAGGGGGGUAGAAUUCCAAGUGUAGCGGUGAAAUGCGUAGAGAUUUGGAGGAAUACCAGUGGCGAAGGCGGCCCCCUGGCACAACACUGACGCUCAGGUGCGAAAGCGUGGGGAGCAAACAGGAUU
rnacentral:rRNA from 1 species